UGUUUCGGCAAGGGGGUCAUCCCGACUUACCAACCCGAUGCAAACUGCGAAUACCGGAGAAUGUUAUCACGGGAGACACACGGCGGGUGCUAACGUCCGUCGUGAAGAGGGAAACAACCCAGACCGCCAGCUAAGGUCCCAAAGUCAUGGUUAAGUGGGAAACGAUGUGGGAAGGCCCAGACAGCCAGGAUGUUGGCUUAGAAGCAGCCAUCAUUUAAAGAAAGCGUAAUAGCUCACUGGUCGAGUCGGCCUGCGCGGAAGAUGUAACGGGGCUAAACCAUGCACCGAAGCUGCGGCAGCGACGCUUAUGCGUUGUUGGGUAGGGGAGCGUUCUGUAAGCCUGUGAAGGUGUGCUGUGAGGCAUGCUGGAGGUAUCAGAAGUGCGAAUGCUGACAUAAGUAACGAUAAAGCGGGUGAAAAGCCCGCUCGCCGGAAGACCAAGGGUUCCUGUCCAACGUUAAUCGGGGCAGGGUGAGUCGACCCCUAAGGCGAGGCCGAAAGGCGUAGUCGAUGGGAAACAGGUUAAUAUUCCUGUACUUGGUGUUACUGCGAAGGGGGGACGGAGAAGGCUAUGUUGGCCGGGCGACGGUUGUCCCGGUUUAAGCGUGUAGGCUGGUUUUCCAGGCAAAUCCGGAAAAUCAAGGCUGAGGCGUGAUGACGAGGCACUACGGUGCUGAAGCAACAAAUGCCCUGCUUCCAGGAAAAGCCUCUAAGCAUCAGGUAACAUCAAAUCGUACCCCAAACCGACACAGGUGGUCAGGUAGAGAAUACCAAGGCGCUUGAGAGAACUCGGGUGAAGGAACUAGGCAAAAUGGUGCCGUAACUUCGGGAGAAGGCACGCUGAUAUGUAGGUGAAGCGACUUGCUCGUGGAGCUGAAAUCAGUCGAAGAUACCAGCUGGCUGCAACUGUUUAUUAAAAACACAGCACUGUGCAAACACGAAAGUGGACGUAUACGGUGUGACGCCUGCCCGGUGCCGGAAGGUUAAUUGAUGGGGUCAGCGCAAGCGAAGCUCUUGAUCGAAGCCCCGGUAAACGGCGGCCGUAACUAUAACGGUCCUAAGGUAGCGAAAUUCCUUGUCGGGUAAGUUCCGACCUGCACGAAUGGCGUAAUGAUGGCCAGGCUGUCUCCACCCGAGACUCAGUGAAAUUG
rnacentral:rRNA from 1 species